rnacentral:tRNA from 1 species
GAGUGGUAGUUCAGCUGGUUAGAAUACCUGCCUGUCACGCAGGGGGUCGCGGUGCCUGUCACGCA